rnacentral:lncRNA from 1 species
GUAGAAUUUAGUCACCUUAUCACUGAUUACACCUGGAAGAAUACAGAAACAAAUGCAACCCAUUUUUUUUUUUAAGUACAAAGUAAUAGACUCCCUACAUGUACAGCAUAUGAGAGAAUCCUAGCAACCUGAUUGAGUCAUUAGAGGCUGGGAAUCUUGACGUGGGAUAACAUUUGCUUAUCUCUGAGCAGAUGUGAGUCAUCCUCAUGCCCUUAGGACUUCUGACACGGCCCAGCAUCUCAAUUUAAACAGAGGAAACCUGGCCAUAAUACAAAUCUAAAUUGUCCGCGUGGCCACCCUGAGAUUGUUGGAGGCUGUUUUCUUCAGUUGGCUGUUCAUCUGAGUGUUCUUUUGAAUAAAAUCCUGAGGUGAAAACUCCUUCUCUGAGUUCCUGGUGUGUGCUUUCAUUAAGAUUACUCAAAACCUGUCAUUAGAAAGUUCCUGAUGCAUCAGGCCAUUACUAUGUGUAAAGCCGAUGAUAGCUGUCUUUGAUCUGUUUGUUUGCUUAAGUUUCUUCCGUGAGAGGUCAUUCAUUUUCUUACUAGUUUUUCAGGUCCUUUUCUAAAGUGUUAAGACUUUCACACUCAAAGUUUCCUUUGAACAGAAACUCACCUGAUUAAUGAUGCCAUUGAAUAAAGCUAUUUUCAGGGCAGUACAUUAUACACAUAGAGGAUUUUAUUUAUAAACAGUUGUAUAGAUGUCAUUGAAUAUUUAUUGCCUUUAUUUCCCUUUCGGUGUCUUAUGAGAUUUUAAGUAACUUCAG